rnacentral:sRNA from 1 species
ACUUUGAUACUUUAAUGUUUGAUAUGCCCUUUCUGUAAGUUGUUCAUGGGUCCUUGCAAAAGAAACAAAUGCUCAUUGCUGUCUAGAUUAGUUUCUAGAAAUUCGAUUUGGACCAGGUAUGUCCAACAGAAUGAGAUUCGGAUUUUCUUUUGGCGUACUAUAUAUGGCUGCAAGUUCGGGUGCGAUCGUCUGAAUAACUGAAUGUACUGCAAAUUGCAAAACUAGCUCAUUAACUUGGAUCAUUUACCAAUUUGCUAAGUCCUAUUCAACUGUAAGCUGACGUUGAUCUACACACCUUAUUCAGUAUAAAAGCAGCACAACAUUAUCUUAACAAUGAAGAAUGAGAGGCUUUCAACCCGGAAAAAAAAAAGAAUGAGGGGCUUUCAUAUGUUUCGAGAUGCAUAGUGCACUAUUUUCUGGUCUAAAAUGGAGCUGAUUCAUAUGCUUGUCUAUACUUGGAGCAAGCAAUUCAGUCCAUGAAUCUCCUUUCUAUGUGUAUUGACAAUCAUGACUCCAACACAGUAUGCACUAACCUGUUUUAGCC